UACAGAGGUCCCAAGCGUUGUUCGGAUUCAUUGGGCGUAAAGGGUGCGUAGGUGGCGCGCUAAGUCAGGUGUGAAAUUUCGGAGCUUAACUCCGAAACUGCAUUUGAUACUGGCGUGCUUGAGGACUGGAGAGGAGACUGGAAUUUACGGUGUAGCGGUGAAAUGCGUAGAUAUCGGGAGGAACACCUGUGGCGAAAGCGGCUCACUGGACCACAACUGACGCUGAGGCGCGAAAGCUAGGGGAGCAAACAGG
rnacentral:rRNA from 1 species